rnacentral:rRNA from 1 species
CGCCUCUUGAACUACUAUAAGAGGUCCAGCCUGCCCAGUGACUCUGUUCAACGGCCGCGGUAUCCUAACCGUGCGAAGGUAGCGUAAUCACUUGUUCUUUAAAUGAGGACUAGUAUGAAUGGCACCACGAAGGUUAUACUGUCUCCUUUUUCUAAUCAGUGAAACUAAUCUCCCCGUGAAGAAGCGGGGAUAAAAAUAUAAGACGAGAAGACCCUAUGGAGCUUUAAGCAAUAUAGCACUUAUCAUACAAUUUUUAAUUUCCUGAAUUACUUACUACCACAGAUAACAUGACUAUAAGUUUCGGUUGGGGUGACCACGGAGCACAACAUAACCUCCAUGUUGAAAGAAUUUAUUUCUAAACUAAGAGCCACACCUCUAAGGAUCAACACCUUGACAUUAAUUGACCCAAUAUAUUUGAUCAACGAACCAAGUUACCCUAGGGAUAACAGCGCAAUCCACUUCAAGAGCUCCUAUCGACAAGUGGGUUUACGACCUCGAUGUUGGAUCAGGGUUUCCCAGUGGUGCAGCCGCUACUAAAGGUUCGUUUGUUCAACGAUUAAAACCCUA